CUGAGGGGCUAUUAUUGUGCCCUAAAUGUUCAAUUAAAGGGACAACUAGUAGGACUGGUCCUUCCAUAUUAAAGAUCAUUCAGAGGAACCCAUUCUUUACUACUUUGAGUAGCAUACUCAAUUGAAGGUUAGGAUGGCAAAGCGUGGGAAAAAUCGUGGCUCAAAACGUGGAAGAAAAAUGGAGAAAAAAAUCUACAAAAGCAGCUCGGCACACAUGGCAGUUCGCGCCCGCGGAACAACUCUUCACGCCUGCGACCUUCAAGUGCGCGCCCGCGAUUUGGAAAUGCUAAAAAUCAAGUUCUCAGAAGUUUUCUCUACAACCCGCGAAGGCUAGUUGCGCCCUCUAUCAUGUGGUUCGCGGCCUCGAGGAAGUCCUGCCUCAGGCCUAUUUAAGGCAGGCUCGACUAGUUUAUUUUGUAUCUCUUCCAGCCAUUUUCUGUGUGCUCUCUCCUAAGUUCUUCUGAGUAUUUUUAUCUUUUGAGAGAUCAAUUUUAUGAGUGAAAUAUAUUUUUGUGAGAGAGAUCAUUUAUUGUAGAGAGAUUUUGCUAAGUGUUUGAGAGUAAGUUGUAGUGAGAUUUCAUUUAUAUUACUCUCAUAUUUGCUUGAUGAUUAGUUAGCUUAUCAGUGCUUCAAUUUCAUCAUCAAGGUGUAAUAAGUCCUUCACACCUUUCAAUUGUGAACCUUCUUGGUGGAUUCCAAGAUUGUAGAUCUUGAUGGAUUUCGAAAUCAUUGGUGUCGUGACGAUUUGACGAUCGUUGCAGAGAUGCAAUGAAAGAAGAAGUGUGACUCGUAGAUUGAGCAAACGCAUGAGUCCAGAGUGGCCUUUGUAAAAUAUCUCUUGUAUUCUUUUCUUUUAUGGUGGAUUGUUCGUUUGGCCGAGAGCGCGUGGUUUUUUUGUCACAAGUUGGUAAAUUUCAGUUGUGAUUUUUCCACGCAAAAAAUAUUUGUUGUCGUGAAUGAAUUUUCUCUUGCUCUC